rnacentral:rRNA from 1 species
GACGAACGCUGGCGGCGUGCCUAAUACAUGCAAGUCGAACGCAUUUUCUUUCACCGUAGCUUGCUACACCGAAAGAAAAUGAGUGGCGAACGGGUGAGUAACACGUGGGUAACCUGCCCAUCAGCGGGGGAUAACACUUGGAAACAGGUGCUAAUACCGCAUAAUUCCAUUUACCGCAUGGUAGAUGGAUGAAAGGCGCUUUUGCGUCACUGAUGGAUGGACCCGCGGUGCAUUAGCUAGUUGGUGGGGUAACGGCCUACCAAGGCUGCGAUGCAUAGCCGACCUGAGAGGGUGAUCGGCCACACUGGGACUGGGACACGGCCCAGACUCCUACGGGAGGCAGCAGUAGGGAAUCUUCGGCAAUGGACACAAGUCUGACCGAGCAACGCCGCGUGAGUGAAGAAGGUUUUCGGAUCGUAAAACUCUGUUGUUAGAGAAGAACAAGGAUGAGAGUGGAAAGUUCAUCCCUUGACGGUAUCUAACCAGAAAGCCACGGCUAACUACGUG